rnacentral:misc_RNA from 1 species
GCAGCUCCACAAUCCUUAGCAGCUCACUCUACUGCUCCUCUAGUCUCUAUAUCUUCUUUGGACCGCACCCGAGGGCUGCUUACGUACCUCAUAUGGAGGAUCAGGAGGAUCAGGUCCACGUAGCUCUUAAAUUUUGAGCUAUAUGAAUCGAAGCUGAAAUUUCUGUAUCUCUGCUCAUGAAAUCAGUUUCCCCUUCAUAUUUUGCCAAAUCAAAACCCCAAUAAGGUAAUUGUGUAAUUUGAGGCAACGAUGGAAGGGCUGAUGGGCAGCAAUGGCAUUUGAACUUACGAGGGCAGCAAUAACAGUUCCUUCUCCCUUUGAUUUGCGUAUUUCUACAUUGAAAACUCAAUAAGGAAAUUUGAUUAGAGCUAAAAAAGUGCAAGAGUUCUGAUUUUAUGGUGGAAGAAAGUCAAAAUGGGUUAGAAAAAUAUGGAUUUGGGUGGGUUUACUACUGCUGCCUCC